AAAGAACUUAAGUGCAAUGCUAUCCUCAUUAGGCGAUAUAAAUGACCCCGGUAACGAACUUUGGGCCGGUGACUCCCAAGUCAGAUGACCAUAGGGCACCAGGUUAGAAACCCCUCAGGCUUAAUUGUUCGAGUCAAAUAGGCCCCGAAGACAGUCAUAAGUUCAACAAAAUAAAAGUGGGGAAAGACAAUAUGAUUAGGUGACACUAGUCCUAGAUCAAGUCAAAUGGACACAUAACCCCAAUCACAGAAGAACACCAUCCCAAGUCUCACCCAUGCGGUCAAGACUCACUCA
rnacentral:lncRNA from 1 species